GUUAAGGCCCUUUUCAGGGCCAUCUACUUUUUCUAUGAAAGAGCU
rfam:Camelus ferus unplaced genomic scaffold scaffold595, whole genome shotgun sequence.